rnacentral:rRNA from 1 species
AUUGAACGCUGGCGGCAGGCCUAACACAUGCAAGUCGAACGGUAACACAAUAAGACUUUCUUCUUUCCUGUGGCGUGUCGGGCGCGUGUGUGAUAUCCAUCAAACUCUCUGUUUUCGUGGGGUAUCUCCUGGAAACGGUUGCUCUUACACCAUAACCUCCCUAGACCUAAGAGCGGGACAUUUUCGCCCCUUGCCCUCUUGAGUGCCCCGAUGUGGGAUUAGCUAGUUGGUGGGGUAAAGGCCCACCAAGGCGACGACCCGCAGCUGGUCUGAGAGGAUGACCAGCCACACUGGAACUGAGACACGGUCCAGACUCCUACGGGAGGCAGCAGUGGGGAAUAUUGCACAAUGGGCGCAAGCCUGAUGCAGCCAUGCCGCGUGUGUGAAGAAGGCCUUCGGGUUGUAAAGCACUUUUGGUGGGAAGGAAGAGAAGAAAGUUAAUACCUCGCCGUAUUGACGGUACCCGAAGAAGAAGCACCGGCUAACUUCGUG